rnacentral:rRNA from 1 species
CAGCAGCCGCGGGAAUACGUAGGGUGCAAGCGUUAAUCAGAAUUACUGGGCGUAAAGCGUGCGCAGGCGGUUUGUUAAGACGGAUGUGAAAUCCCCGGGCUCAACCUGGGAACUGCAUUCGUGACUGGCAAGCUAGAGUAUGGCAGAGGGGGGUGGAAUUCCACGUGUAGCAGUGAAAUGCGUAGAGAUGUGGAGGAACACCGAUGGCGAAGGCAGCCCCCUGGGCCAAUACUGACGCUCAUGCACGAAAGCGUAGGGAGCAAACAGGAUUAGAUAACCGAGUAGUCCCUGUCUCUUAUAA